rnacentral:lncRNA from 10 species
UUGUGAGAUCUGGUUGUUUAAAAGUGUGUCACCUCCUCCCUCACUCUUUUGCUCCUGCUCUGGUCUUGUGACAUGCCUGCUCACUCUUUAUCUUCUGCCAUAAUUGUAAGUUUCCUGAGGUCUCCCCAGAAGCCACACAGAUGCCAGCAUCAUGUUUCCUGUACAGCCUGAGGAACUUUCUGGAAGUCAGAAGGCCAACAAGUUCUCACGGGGCUAAAAUCAAGGUGUUGGCAAGGUGCAUUCCUUUCUGGAGGCUCCAGGGAACAAUCCACUAAUUCGCCUGAUGCAUCUUCUAGAGGGCAUUCACAUUCCUUGGCUUGUGGUUCCUUCUUGAAUCCCCAAAGCCAGCAUCAUUGCAUCUCUCUGACCACCCUUCCUUCCAUAGUCAUAUUUCCCUCUGACCACAGGGCCACUAGUGGAGUUUUCCAGAAGCUACAGUGGUAUCAUGACAGAUUGGAUGCAGAAGCAGAAAAAGCCAGCUGGCUUUCAUUAAAGCAGACACUAAAGAGAUUUGCAAAAAUGUGAACCAAUGUCACUAUUCUAGUUAUGUUUGGUUUUGGAAAAUACAGU